GGGAGKGCCUUCGGGAAUCAGAACACAGGUGCUGCAUGGCUGUCGUCAGCUCGUGUCGUGAGAUGUUGGGUUAAGUCCCGCAACGAGSGCAACCCCUGUCCUUUGUUGCCAGCACGUAAUGGUGGGAACUCAAGGGAGACUGCCGGUGAUAAACCGGAGGAAGGKGGGGAUGACGUCAAGUCAUCAUGGCCCUUACGGCCAGGGCUACACACGUGCUACAAUGGCGCGUACAGAGGGCUGCAAGCUAGCGAUAGUGAGCGAAUCCCAAAAAGCGCGUCGUAGUCCGGAUCGGAGUCUGCAACUCGACUCCGUGAA
rnacentral:rRNA from 1 species